UGCUCAAAGUAUGCACACGUUCCCAAAAGUAGACCUCCUUCACCGCCGGAGGAGCAUACAUCACCCCGUGGCAGCCGUCCACCUUCUCAGGCGUUUCGUAACCGAGUAAACUGAGAGCUGGGAACAGCCCUCUAUUAAGUAGCCCGCGGCGCAGAGUCUCUUUCCACUUGGCGAAGGCGAACCGCCCCUGACGCGUCCGCGCGCCGGCAGCUGCAGGCUCAGGCGGUCUCCACUCGUCCUGCAGCGCCCGCCUCUCCUCCUGGGAUUCUCCUCCUCCUACUGGACUUCCCCGCGGCUGCCCACGCCUCGGCGGCCGCUAGGUGCUCCUGGAGCGCAGCGCCUAUCGCCCGGGCGUGUGGGGGCCACACCGAGCACCAGCUUCUCCGACGCCAGGAAGCCGCCGUCGCCGCCUCUACCUCACCCUGUCGCCGCCGUCUCAGAGCUCUUCAUGCCGCUGUAAGCUCGGAGGCCGAGGAUGCGGACCAGGCUUCCCCCAGUGCUUGCCGCCCUGGGCGCGGCCCUGCUCCUGUCUUCCAUUGAGGCAGAAGUUGACCCACCUUCAGACUUGAAUUUUAAAAUUAUAGAUGAAAAUACUGUUCAUAUGUCAUGGGCAAAACCAGUUGAUCCAAUUGUGGGUUACAGAAUAACGGUGGACCCUACAACAGAUGGGCCUACUAAAGAAUUUACCCUUGCAGCUAGUACCACUGAAACUUUAUUGUCAGAACUUGUACCUGAAACAGAGUAUGUGGUGACAAUAACUUCAUAUGAUGAAGUAGAAGAAAGUGUACCAGUUAUAGGACAACUAACAAUUCAAACAGGUAGUUCGACAAAGCCAGUGGAGAAAAAACCUGGAAAAACCGAGAUACAAAAAUGCUCUGUCAGUGCCUGGACUGAUCUGAUUUUCCUUGUGGAUGGCUCUUGGAGUGUGGGAAGAAAUAAUUUCAAGUACAUUUUAGACUUUAUUGCUGCUCUUGUGUCUGCUUUUGAUAUCGGGGAAGAGAAGACAAGAGUUGGAGUUGUUCAGUACAGCUCUGAUACCAGGACUGAAUUUAACUUAAAUCAGUACUACCAAAGGGAUGAGCUUCUUGCUGCAAUAAAAAAAAUUCCAUAUAAAGGUGGCAACACAAUGACAGGGGAUGCCAUUGAUUAUUUAGUUAAAAAUACUUUCACGGAAUCUGCUGGGGCAAGAGUUGGCUUUCCUAAAGUGGCAAUUAUUAUUACGGAUGGAAAAUCCCAGGAUGAAGUGGAAAUUCCAGCAAGAGAGCUUCGUAAUGUUGGAGUUGAAGUUUUCUCCUUGGGCAUUAAAGCUGCAGAUGCAAAAGAACUCAAACAAAUUGCCUCCACACCUUCACUGAACCAUGUUUUCAAUGUGGCCAACUUUGAUGCAAUCGUGGAUAUUCAGAAUGAGAUCAUCUCCCAGGUGUGCUCAGGUGUUGAUGAACAACUUGGCGAAUUGGUUAGUGGAGAAGAAGUUGUUGAGCCUCCUUCAAAUUUGAUUGCCGUGGAAGUCUCUUCAAAAUACGUUAAGCUAAGUUGGAAUCCAUCUGCUAGUCCAGUGACUGGCUACAAAGUCAUCCUCACACCAAUGACAGCAGGAAGCCGACAGCACGCUCUGAGUGUGGGGCCUCAGACAACCACGCUCAGUGUUCGUGACCUCUCAGCAGACACAGAAUACCAGAUCAGUGUUUCUGCCAUGAAGGGAAUGACAUCCAGUGAACCCAUCUCAAUAAUGGAGAAGACUCAGCCAAUGAAAGUACAAGUGGAAUGCUCACGUGGUGUGGAUAUAAAAGCCGAUAUUGUGUUUUUGGUUGAUGGCUCCUAUAGCAUUGGGAUUGCAAACUUUGUUAAAGUUAGAGCCUUUUUGGAAGUUCUUGUAAAAAGUUUUGAAAUUUCACCAAAUAGGGUCCAGAUUAGUCUUGUCCAAUACAGCCGGGAUCCUCAUACUGAGUUCACUUUGAAAAAAUUCACCAAAGUGGAAGAUAUAAUUGAAGCAAUAAACACCUUCCCUUACAGAGGAGGAUCUACAAAUACUGGCAAAGCAAUGACUUAUGUCAGAGAGAAAAUAUUUGUGCCUAGCAAGGGAUCAAGAAGCAAUGUGCCAAAGGUCAUGAUUCUUAUCACGGAUGGGAAAUCGUCAGAUGCUUUCAGAGAUCCUGCGAUAAAACUAAGGAAUUCAGAUGUUGAAAUCUUCGCAGUUGGUGUGAAAGAUGCUGUUCGCUCAGAAUUAGAAGCUAUUGCCUCUCCUCCCGCAGAGACCCAUGUGUUCACAGUGGAAGAUUUUGAUGCUUUUCAGAGGAUAUCUUUUGAACUCACGCAGUCUAUCUGCCUUAGAAUUGAGCAAGAAUUGGCAGCUAUAAAGAAGAAAGCUUACGUCCCUCCAAAGGAUCUUAGUUUUUCAGAAGUGACUUCUUAUGGUUUCAAAACCAACUGGUCUCCAGCUGGAGAAAAUGUUUUUUCAUAUCACAUCACCUACAAGGAAGCGACUGGGGAUGACGAGGUCACUGUGGUGGAGCCAGCAUCGAGCACCAGUGUUGUUCUCAGCAACCUGAAGCCAGAGACCCUGUAUUUGGUCAAUGUGACUGCGGAGUAUGAGGAUGGCUUCAGCAUUCCCUUAGCUGGAGAGGAGACCACCGAAGAAGUAAAAGGAGCACCUCGAAACCUAAAGGUGACAGAUGAGACUACAGAUAGUUUUAAAAUUACUUGGACUCAAGCUCCAGGGAGAGUUUUAAGAUAUCGAAUUAUAUAUAGACCAGUUGCUGGUGGAGAAAGCAGAGAAGUUACCACCCCACCCAAUCAGAGGAGGAGAACACUGGAGAACUUGAUUCCAGACACAAAAUAUGAAGUAACUGUAAUUCCUGAAUAUUUCUCGGGACCUGGUUCUCCAUUAACUGGAAACGCAGCCACUGAAGAAGUUAGAGGGAAUCCAAGAGACUUAAGAGUUUCUGACCCUACGACGUCUACUAUGAAAUUAUCUUGGAGUGGGGCACCAGGAAAAGUGAAACAGUAUCUCGUCACAUAUACCCCAGUGGCAGGGGGUGAAACUCAAGAGGUCACUGUGAGGGGAGAUACAACCAAUACGGUGCUGCGGGGAUUGAAGGAAGGGACACAAUACGCCUUAUCUGUGACAGCCUUGUAUGCGUCUGGGGCUGGAGAUGCCCUCUUUGGUGAAGGAACAACACUUGAAGAACGUGGUUCUCCUCGAGAUUUAGUUACUAAAGACAUCACUGACACAUCAAUUGGGGCUUAUUGGACAUCUGCUCCAGGAAUGGUUCGCGGUUACAGGGUCUCAUGGAAAUCACUUUAUGAUGAUGUUGACACUGGAGAGAAAAAUCUUCCUGAAGAUGCAAUCCAUACUAUGAUAGAAAAUCUGCAGCCAGAGACCAAAUACAGAAUUUCAAUAUUUGCCACUUACAGCAGUGGAGAAGGAGAACCUUUGACUGGAGAUGCCACAACUGAAUUAUCUCAAGAUUCCAAAACUCUGAAAGUAGAUGAAGAAACAGAAAGCACAAUGAGAGUUACGUGGAAACCAGCUCCAGGGAAAGUCGUCAACUACCGUGUUGUCUAUCGCCCCCAUGGGGGAGGGAGGCAAAUGGUUGCUAAGGUGCCCCCCACAGUCACUUCAACAGUGUUAAAGCGACUUCAGCCACAGACCACAUAUGACAUCACAGUUCUUCCGAUUUACAAGACAGGAGAAGGAAAGCUUAGGCAAGGAUCAGGAACAACAGCUUCUCGAUUUAAGUCUCCCAGAAACCUCAAAACAUCUGACCCAACCAUGUCAAGCUUCCGAGUGACUUGGGAGCCUGCCCCUGGAGAAGUGAAGGGUUAUAAAGUCACAUUCCACCCUACGGGGGAUGACAGAAGACUGGGGGAGUUAGUGGUUGGACCCUAUGACAACACGGUUGUUUUGGAGGAACUUAGGGCUGGUACCACCUAUAAAGUAAAUGUUUUUGGAAUGUUUGAUGGAGGAGAAAGCUCACCACUUGUUGGACAAGAAAUGACAACCCUUUCCGACACAACUGUAAUGCCAAUUUUAUCUUCUGGGAUGGAGUGUCUCACCAGAGCUGAGGCAGACAUUGUGUUGCUGGUGGAUGGAUCAUGGAGCAUCGGCCGGGCAAAUUUUAGAACCGUGAGGAGCUUUAUUUCUCGUAUUGUGGAAGUCUUUGACAUUGGCCCCAAAAGAGUACAAAUUGCUCUUGCUCAGUAUAGUGGGGAUCCCAGAACAGAGUGGCAGUUAAAUGCUCACAGAGACAAGAAGAGCUUGUUGCAAGCUGUGGCAAACUUACCAUACAAAGGAGGCAAUACUCUCACAGGCAUGGCUUUGAAUUUCAUUCGCCAACAGAGCUUCAGGACCCAAGCUGGCAUGAGACCUCGAGCUCGAAAAAUUGGUGUGCUCAUUACUGAUGGAAAAUCACAAGAUGAUGUUGAGGCACCUUCAAAGAAACUCAAGGAUGAGGGAGUGGAGCUGUUUGCUAUUGGUAUUAAAAAUGCUGAUGAAGUCGAAUUAAAGAUGAUUGCAACUGAUCCUGAUGAUACCCAUGCAUACAAUGUGGCAGAUUUUGAGUCACUCUCCAGGAUAGUGGAUGAUCUCACCAUUAAUUUGUGUAACAGCGUCAAAGGUCCAGGUGAUUUGGAAGCACCUUCUAACUUAGUUAUUUCUGAGCGAACCCAUCGUUCUUUUAGAGUGAGCUGGACACCACCUUCUGACAGUGUGGAUCGAUACAAGGUGGAAUACUAUCCAGUUUCUGGAGGGAAACGUCAAGAAUUUUAUGUGAGUCGAAUGGAAACCAGCACAGUGCUGAAAGAUCUGAAGCCUGAAACUGAGUAUGUUGUCAAUGUGUAUUCUGUGGUAGAAGAUGAAUAUAGUGAGCCUCUGAAGGGCACAGAAAAAACCUUGCCAGUGCCUGUAGUCAGCCUGAAUAUUUAUGAUGUUGGCCCUACCACCAUGCAUGUGCAGUGGCAGCCUGUGGGAGGAGCUACUGGCUACAUCUUGUCAUACAAACCUGUUAAGGACACAGAGCCAACAACACCCAAAGAGAUGCAUUUGGGGCCAACAGUGAAUGACAUGCAGCUGACUGACCUUGUUCCCAACACGGAGUAUGCAGUCACAGUCCAGGCUGUCCUGCACGACCUCACUAGUGAACCCGUCACUGUUCGGGAAGUCACCUUGCCUUUACCCAGACCUCAGGAUCUGAAACUCAGAGAUGUGACUCACAGCACUAUGAAUGUCUUUUGGGAACCUGUGCCUGGAAAAGUGCGUAAAUAUAUUGUUCGAUACAAAACACCGGAAGAGGAUGUCAAAGAGGUAGAGGUGGACAGAUCAGAGACCAGCACUUCCCUCAAAGACCUCUUCUCACAGACCCUGUACACAGUCAGCGUUUCUGCAGUACAUGAUGAGGGGGAGUCUCCUCCAGUGACUGCUCAAGAAACUACCCGACCCGUGCCAGCCCCAACAAACCUAAGGAUUACUGAAGUAACAUCAGAGGGUUUCAGAGGGACCUGGGAUCAUGGAGCUUCAGAUGUGUCUCUCUACAGAAUAACUUGGGCACCUUUUGGAAGCUCAGAUAAGAUGGAGACCAUCUUAAAUGGAGAUGAAAAUACUUUGAUGUUCGAAAACCUGAAUCCCAACACCGUCUAUGAAGUUUCCAUUACUGCCAUCUAUCCUGAUGAGUCAGAAAGUGAUGACCUGAUUGGCAGUGAGCGCACAUUGCCUAUCUUAACAACACAAGCUCCCAAAAGUGGCCCACGAAACCUUCAAGUGUACAAUGCAACAUCUAACAGCUUGACUGUUAAGUGGGAUCCUGCUAGUGGUCGUGUGCAGAAAUAUAGGAUCACUUAUCAGCCUUCCACAGGGGAAGGCAAUGAGCAAACGACCACAAUAGGAGGACGGCAGAACAGUGUGGUCCUGCAGAAACUGAAGCCAGACACUCCUUACACUAUCACCGUAUCCUCUUUGUAUCCUGAUGGUGAAGGAGGUCGGAUGACGGGAAGAGGCAAGACCAAACCUCUAAACACUGUAAGGAACCUAAGAGUGUAUGACCCUUCUACCAGCACCUUGAAUGUCCGCUGGGACCAUGCAGAGGGAAAUCCUCGUCAGUACAAGCUCUUCUAUGCACCAGCAGCAGAUGGUCCAGAGGAACUGGUUCCAAUCCCCGGGAAUACCAAUUAUGCCAUUCUUAGGAAUCUCCAGCCAGAUACUUCGUACACUGUGACGGUAGUUCCCGUUUAUACUGAAGGUGAUGGGGGACGCACAUCAGAUACUGGAAGGACAUUGAUGAGAGGACUGGCAAGAAAUGUCCAAGUAUACAAUCCUACACCUAACAGCCUCGAUGUUCGCUGGGACCCUGCACCAGGACCUGUGCUGCAGUAUCGCAUUGUGUAUUCCCCUGUGGAUGGCACAAGACCCUCAGAAUCUAUAGUGGUGCCAGGAAACACACGCAUGGUGCAUCUGGAGCGGCUGAUUCCGGACACACUCUAUUCCGUGAACCUUGUGGCUCUAUACUCAGAUGGAGAGGGAAAUCCCAGCCCUGCCCAGGGCCGAACGCUACCACGGAGUGGACCAAGGAACCUGAGAGUGUUUGGUGAAACAACCAAUAGCCUUUCGGUAGCCUGGGAUCAUGCUGACGGGCCAGUUCAGCAGUACAGGAUCAUCUAUUCUCCCACUGUUGGUGAUCCAAUUGAUGAAUAUACCACAGUCCCAGGCAGAAGAAAUAAUGUAAUACUGCAGCCCCUGCAACCUGACACUCCAUAUAAAAUUACUGUUAUUGCUGUUUAUGAAGAUGGAGAUGGUGGCCAUCUAACAGGAAAUGGAAGAACUGUGGGACUCCUUCCUCCUCAGAACAUACACAUCUCUGAUGAAUGGUAUACAAGAUUCAGGGUGUCCUGGGACCCUUCACCCUCUCCAGUUCUUGGAUAUAAAAUUGUAUAUAAGCCAGUGGGUUCCAAUGAGCCCAUGGAAGCCUUUGUUGGAGAGAUGACAUCAUAUACCUUACACAAUCUCAAUCCCAGCACCACCUACGAUGUGAAUGUUUAUGCUCAAUAUGAUUCUGGACUCAGUGUCCCCUUGACAGAUCAAGGCACUACAUUAUAUUUAAAUGUAACAGAUCUGAAAACUCACCAGAUUGGGUGGGAUACAUUCUGUGUCAAAUGGUCAGCUCACCGGGCAGCCACCUCCUACAGGCUGAAACUAAGCCCUGCAGAUGGAACCAGGGGACAAGAAAUUACAGUGCGUGGAUCAGAAACCAGUCACUGCUUCACUGGCCUUUCACCAGACACUGAUUAUGGUGUCACUGUUUUUGUGCAGACACCAAAUCUCGAGGGACCAGGAGUCUCUGUUAAAGAACAUACCACUGUGAAACCAACAGAAGCCCCUACAGAGCCACCCACCCCUCCUCCCCCUCCCACCAUUCCACCAGCCCGGGAUGUAUGCAAAGGGGCCAAGGCAGAUAUUGUGUUCUUGACUGAUGCCUCUUGGAGCAUCGGGGAUGAUAAUUUUAACAAAGUUGUAAAAUUCAUCUUCAAUACUGUGGGAGGCUUUGAUGAAAUCAGUCCUGCUGGGAUUCAGGUUUCAUUUGUGCAAUACAGCGAUGAGGUCAAGUCUGAGUUCAAGCUGAACACAUACAAUGACAAGGCCCUAGCCCUUGGGGCCCUCCAGAAUAUUAGGUACAGAGGAGGAAACACAAGAACAGGCAAGGCCCUCACAUUUAUCAAGGAGAAAAUCUUGACUUGGGAGAGUGGCAUGAGGAAGAAUGUCCCUAAGGUGUUGGUUGUGGUCACAGAUGGUCGGUCCCAGGAUGAGGUCAAGAAGGUGGCUUUGGUCAUCCAGCAGUCAGGGUUCAGUGUCUUUGUAGUUGGUGUGGCUGAUGUCGACUACAACGAGCUUGCCAACAUUGCCAGCAAACCAAGUGAACGGCACGUGUUCAUUGUGGACGACUUUGAAUCUUUUGAGAAGAUCGAAGACAAUCUUAUUACAUUUGUUUGUGAAACUGCCACUUCAAGUUGUCCUCUCAUUUAUUUGGAUGGCUACACCUCACCAGGUUUUAAGAUGCUUGAAGCGUACAACCUGACAGAAAAGAAUUUUGCUUCUGUACAAGGAGUAUCUUUGGAGUCAGGGUCUUUCCCCAGCUACUCAGCUUACAGGAUUCAGAAGAAUGCAUUUGUGAAUCAGCCUACAGCAGACCUACACCCAAAUGGACUCCCUCCUUCAUACACGAUUAUAUUAUUAUUCAGACUUCUCCCAGAAACUCCCAGUGACCCUUUUGCAAUUUGGCAAAUCACAGACAGAGACUACAAACCACAAGUUGGAGUGAUUGCAGACCCUUCUAGCAAGACGUUAUCAUUCUUUAACAAGGAUAUAAGAGGCGAGGUACAAACUGUUACAUUUGACACAGAUGAAGUAAAGACAUUAUUUUAUGGAAGUUUUCAUAAGGUUCAUAUUGUGGUGACCCCAAAAAGUGUUAAGACUUACAUUGACUGCUAUGAAAUUAUAGAAAAAGACAUCAAGGAAGCUGGAAAUAUAACAACUGAUGGUUAUGAAAUUCUUGGAAAACUCCUUAAAGGGGAAAGGAAAUCAGCCGCAUUCCAAAUCCAGAGUUUUGACAUUGUCUGCAGCCCAGUGUGGACCAGUAGAGACAGAUGCUGUGAUAUUCCCUCUAGGAGAGAUGAGGCAAAAUGCCCUGCUUUUCCAAAUUCUUGCACAUGUACACAGGACAGCGUUGGACCUCCAGGACCUCCAGGCCCUGCAGGAGGGCCUGGUGCUAAAGGUCCCAGAGGUGAAAGAGGUAUCAGUGGGGCAGUUGGGCCCCCUGGUCCUCGUGGAGACAUAGGUCCUCCAGGCCCCCAGGGUCCUCCAGGCCCUCAGGGACCCAAUGGACUCUCUAUUCCGGGAGAGCAAGGUCGCCAAGGGAUGAAAGGUGAUGCUGGAGAGCCAGGACUUCCAGGCCGAACAGGAACUCCAGGGUUACCUGGCCCACCAGGACCAAUGGGACCUCCAGGAGAUAGAGGCUUCACUGGAAAAGACGGUGCAAUGGGACCCAGGGGCCCACCGGGGCCACCGGGAAGCCCAGGCUCCCCGGGAGUCACAGGACCAAGUGGGAAGCCAGGAAAACCUGGAGAUCAUGGCAGACCAAAACUUUGCAAGAGCAAUUGGUCCAUCUGGGUUGAAAGGAGAAAAAGGUGAUAGGGGAGACAUUGCUUCCCAGAACAUGAUGCGAGCAGUUGCAAGACAAGUCUGUGAACAAUUGAUAAGUGGUCAGAUGAACAGAUUCAAUCAGAUGCUGAAUCAGAUUCCAAAUGAUUACCACUCCAGUCGCAACCAGCCAGGCCCGCCGGGUCCACCGGGACCUCCUGGCAGCGCAGGAGCCAGAGGAGAACCUGGACCUGGGGGGCGGCCAGGCUUCCCGGGCACACCAGGGAUGCAGGGACCCCCUGGGGAACGAGGUUUGCCAGGAGAGAAAGGUGAAAGGGGUACUGGAUCUCCAGGACCUCGGGGGCUGCCUGGACCCCCAGGUCCACAAGGAGAAUCCAGAACAGGUCCACCAGGGUCCACAGGUUCAAGAGGUCCCCCUGGCCCCCCUGGCCGUCCUGGAAACUCAGGUAUCCGAGGACCCCCGGGUCCUCCUGGAUACUGUGAUUCGUCUCAGUGCGCCAGCAUCCCAUACAAUGGGCAAGGCUAUCCAGGUUCCGGCUAACACAUUUUCUAAGUCGCCAGUGCUGCUUACAGUUUGAAUACAUGAAAAUCCUGUUUCUGAGAUGUUUGCGCACGUGCUUAUUAGGAAAUGAGUCUGUAUGGAAAUCUCACCACAGAUAAUGGUUAACGAACCGGGUCGACAUCACAAAGGAGGGUGGAGACUCUUUUUACUAACUUGAAUGAGACAAAAGCAGUGAUGUCAGUUUAUAAGCCUGAUGCAUUUCAGUAAUAAUGUAGAAAAACAUUAUUUUAAAAAAGUUCCAACACACAGCCAUGAGGAGCCUCAGUUGUGAAAGAGGUGCAUAAUAAAACUACUAACCAGAGGAGACUAUGCCAUUUUAAGAAAAACAAUUAACCUGGUUAAAGAGAAAUGUCUUAUGUAAAUAAUAAACUAAUUGUGGCUUGUAAAUGGUUUGUAUGUGAUCCUGUCGACUAAAAUCACUUAACAAUUCUACAAUAAGCUUCUGCAUCAAAGCCUGCCGCUUGCUCUAUGCCGGAAUAACACCAAAUGGAAUCUCCUUAUCUCUUGCUUGUUAGCGAUGUGUCUGAUUCAGGGCAUCUGGCUCUGUUACUUUUUUGUCCGUGUCCUCUCAUUUGGGUUUUGUAACUGCAGUUUUCAAACCAAAGUUUAAAAUCACCUUUUCUUCCUGUUUUGCUGUAGUCACUGGUGUUCCUCACCCACCAGCUGUAACUCAGUUAGUGUGAGGUACAGCCACAGAAGAUGUCAUGUACUGUAUAUUACCUGGUGAUAGUUGCUUUUCACCCCCCCGAGUUCAGUUUCUAGGAGCCAAUAAAACUUUCCCUCACCUCCUCAUCUUUCCAAGUUGUUCUUUGAAUUGAGGAGUUUGAAGGCAUGAACAGUUACUUGGGGAUUUGUGAAAAUCCUACUUAGGUACUGCGUUUACAGUUUUUUUGGUCCAGUCUCUGACCCUUCCCAGGUAUUUGUGCAAUGAUUGUAUUUACUGCUGGAUUUUUGAAGGUUGUUUUUUUUUUUUAAGACAGUGCCAUUUCAUUAUUUGAUUAUCACCAAAUUCUCUGGAAGUAAUUGGGACAUUGUAACUUAUUUAUAGUUAUGAGAUUAAGACUGGAGUGCCAUCACCGCGGGUGAUGAUUUAGCUUUUGCUGUGUGUAUGUGCCUUCCAAAUCAUGCCAUAACUGUAAUGUUGAAUCGGACAGAGCCUUAUGUGCCCGAGGGCGGGGCCUACCUGCCUGAGCGCGAGCCCUUCAUCGUGCCGGUGGAGCCCGAGCGGACGGCGGAAUAUGAGGACUACGGCGCAGACGAGCCUGCAGAAGAGACUCCUGAGCCCCGCGGGCGCUGGCGGCGCGCCCUGUCCCACGGACCCGGGCAGUGAACCAGAGACCACGCGCCGCGCCGCGAGGCUGGGGGGAGGUGUUGAAAUUCUCAUUUACAGGUCAGAUAGGGCAGUGUACGUCUUUUCUGCGAUGUUUCUUCCAGCGUUGGUCAUCCUGGAGUACCCUUUCUGAUUGUAGAGAACCUUGUUUCUGCAGGAAGCCUAGCUCCAAGCACGCAGUCUGUAGACAUUUUUGCCUUUGCCCUUGAAAUGCUUGCAAAACACUUUGUUCACAAAAGCUGCAAAGACAGAACAUGCCGUGUGCCUUUAGUUAGCACAGCGGGCAGCCUCAGUGAAACUCUUAGGUAAAGCAGUAAGUUCUGGAACCCAGAGCUACUGAGUAUUUCGAGCGGGCAGUUUAUCUUUUGCUAUACUUAUCUGCAAUUCAAUUACACCACUAUUCAAAUAAUUCCCCUCCUAAAACCAAAAAGGAGGGAAACGUCAACUCCAUUGCAAUUAUUUAUCUUCCUCUUCUAUCUCUGUUAUACACCGGGGCAUAGAAUGCUCGUAUACAUCUCUUUAACAACCACCAACCUUAAGCCAUGUAGAUGAAGUUAGUGCAUCAACGGGAUACAGUUCCAUAUUGCCUUAAACCUCCUUGUUUUAGACACACUAACAUUUAUGCCCAAUUGCAGAUUAUUCUGCAGAGAUGGAAUUGCAUGUUUGUGUUGUAUAUUUAGUAUGAACUUUUUUCAGAAUAUAAUAUUUCUUAGUUAUCAAAAGCAGUUGGAAAACGUUUGCAAGACUAUGAAUAUAGAAUUGCUGCUUUUAUAUUUUAACUGCAGAUUGUGAAUUUCACUGCCUUAUAUUAUUUAUUUCUGAAACAAAAGAGGCAUUUUUCAAUAAAACUACUGAAAAUUUGA